rnacentral:rRNA from 1 species
UGAGCUUGAUCCUGGCUCAGGACGAACGCUGGCGGCGUGCCUAAUACAUGCAAGUCGAGCGAAUGGAGGGGAGCUUGCUCCCUGAAGUUAGCGGCGGACGGGUGAGUAACACGUGGGCAACCUGCCCUGUAGACUGGGAUAACAUCGAGAAAUCGGUGCUAAUACCGGAUAAUCAAAGGAAUCACAUGGUUCUUUUGUAAAAGAUGGCUUCGGCUAUCACUAUAGGAUGGGCCCGCGGUGCAUUAGCUAGUUGGUGGGGUAGAGGCUCACCAAGGCAACGAUGCAUAGCCGACCUGAGAGGGUGAUCGGCCACACUGGGACUGAGACACGGCCCAGACUCCUACGGGAGGCAGCAGUAGGGAAUCUUCCGCAAUGGACGAAAGUCUGACGGAGCAACGCCGCGUGAGUGAUGAAGGUUUUCGGAUCGUAAAGCUCUGUUGUUAGGGAAGAACAAGUACCGUUCGAAUAGGGCGGUACCUUGACGGUACCUAACCAGAAAGCCCGAU